UGAGUAACACGUAUGCAAUCCACCUGUAACAGGGGGAUAACCCGGAGAAAUCCGGACUAAUACCCCAUAAUAUGGGCGCUCCGCAUGGAGAGCCCAUUAAAGAGAGCAAUCUUGGUUACAGACGAGCAUGCGCUCCAUUAGCCAGUUGGCGGGGUAACGGCCCACCAAAGCGACGAUGGAUAGGGGUUCUGAGAGGAAGGUCCCCCACAUUGGAACUGAGACACGGUCCAA
rnacentral:rRNA from 1 species